UAGCGAUUAGCGGUCGCGCCUUGCAAACCUGAGUGUAAUGAGACUAAGUCCUCACCCCAGCUCUGCACUUCCUGACUUAUCUGAUUUAAAUCAGAACAUCUGAACAUUGGACCCAGGAUAUAGCCAAGUGGAUUCCAAGGAUUUUCUCCACAGGCUGCAAAUGGAGGGGAAGGGAGAAGCAGGCUUAGCUUUGAAGGCAUCUUAGAAGAAGAUGUAUUUCAAUCCAUCUCGAAGGAGAGCGGAUCUUAUCUACGUGACAUUUGGACUGGCAGGAGGCAGUUUAUUUAACUCCUGAUGACAUCCAGACUUGACUAUUGGCAAAGAGCUCCUAUGAAUCCUCUGACUAGUAGGCAAACACACACCAACCAACUCAUCUCAGGAAGGAGGGAUGCACAGAUAUUUCAUCUCUCAUGUGACCACUGAUGGAUUGGUAGGGGUUGCUUAGAGCUCAGAGUUGAAUGGCAUUUUAGGGUUAUGUCUGGGCUCAGCAACAAAGAUGUAAUAGAUUAUUGAUAUCUGCUCUGGAUGUGCAUGUUUGUGUGCAUGACUGUUUAGGUGUCAGCGGGGACAGUGGCACGCAUACUAGGUUUUGCUAUUCCUGGGGUGGACUAUGUAAAGAAUCCUUUCAUUUCCUGAGAUCCUGGACACUAAAGCGUUAUUUUUUACCUCUAUUUUGUGUUGUAAUUGAUAAUAAGCUAGCUUUCUUUUGCCCAACAUUAGUGUAGCAACUGUUGCUACACGGUUGGUCUCAUCUUCCUUGAAUUUAUCUGUUUAGAGGAUAGUCAGGUCCUGUCCCAGUCUUUGUAGGGAAGGGAGUUCAUCUCUUGCUUAAUGUAAGCCAUUGUUGGGAAACUAUUCCCCAGGCAGUGUUGAUGCUCUAGGAAUGGGUAUAUGAAGCAAUUUUGGUCAAGAAAGUCUCUUUUCUAAGUCACAACUUGUUCAGUCUAUGAUUCACAAGAAGGCAUUCUUUUUCUGGUCUUUGUUUUGUGCGAAAGUGAUGAUUAGAGCUGUUCUCUUCCUCUGAAAGAAAAUGGUGCUUGGAUAUGGUGCUUGGAACUUCUCUAGCUGCCCUUUAACCACAAAGCAAGAAGCCUUGGUACAAAUGACAAGCCUCAACUGCUGGAAUGCUGAUUUUGUUGAACAAUAAGAUCAACUGUCUCUAGAAAUAAUGUACCCUUAUUGUUUGAAAUCUUAUGCCUCUUGAAUUUUCAUAGAGCAAUAAUUGGGAAGAAUUUAAUAUGGAAACACAUUAUAUGUUUGUAACAUCUGAAGCUUAAAUGAUAUGAUGAAAAAAUAUACAAAAGAUGGUUUUACCAUAACUCUUUUAAACAAUAUUUUGAAGUGUAUAUGAUGGUCAAUAAGAUGAAUAUAUUAAGUGUAACAAUUUGAUCAGUUUUGAUAUAUCUAUAUCCAUGGAAAUAUUGUUUCCAUUGUAAAGUCUUUCAAGUGUAAUUGUUAUGGUAGUGUAUUAAAUUUUAGUUUCUGUUUACUUAUUGCUAAUAUAUUUCCAGAUGUGAAUUUUGUGUAUUCAUCCUAUAUCCUUCAAUCUUUAUAAACUCAGUUAUUAAAUCUUGUGUCUUUUUCUAUAUUAUAUAAGAUUUCUGUAUAGACAACUAUGUUAUCUGUGAAUAAAUUCAGUUUUAUUUUUUCCUUCCUAACUUGGAUGACUUUUAUUUAUUUUUCUUGCCUUAUUCAAUAGGCUGGAUCACCCAUAUAUGUUGAAUAAAGAUUGUGAAAGUAGACAUUUUUAUCUUACUCCUACUCUUAGAGGAAAAAUACUCUAUUAAAUGUGAUAUUAGCUGCAAGUUUUUGUGCAUGCGCAUUACCAGGUUAAGGAAGUUUCCUUUUAUUCCUUAUUUGAUGAAAUUUUUUGAUCAGAAAUGCAUUUUGCUAAAUGCUUAUAUUUAUAUGCAAUGAAAUGAUCAUUUAGUUUAUUAAUUUUGGUUUGUUAAUAUAGUGGAUUACAUUGAUUGCUCUUUGAUUGCAAAAACUUACAACCUUGUUGUCUUAUUAUAAAUCUCACUUGGUCAUAAUAUACUAUCAUGUAUAUACAUUAUUGUGUUCAAUAUGCUAAAAUAUUAUCUAGAAUUUUUGUGUCUUUACUCAAUUAGUCAGAAUUUGAUUUGUAGGUAAUGAUGGCCUCAUAAAACACAUUGGAAAGUAUUAUCUCCUCUUAAUUUUUCUGGAAGAGUUUGUGAAUAAUUGCUGUUUCUCUUCCUUAAAUGUUUGGUAAUAUUCACCUAUGAAAUAUGCAUCUAAGCCUGCAGUUUUCUUGUCAGAAAAGUCUUAUCCAUAAACUACAUUUUUUCAACAAGUAUAGAGCAAUUUGGGUUACUUAUUUCUUCUUAAAUGAACUUCGGUAAUUUGUGUGAUUCAAGGAAUUGACAAAUUCCAUUUAAAUUGCUGAAUUUUUGGGCAUACGUUGCUCAUAAUAUUUUCAUACUCUGUAAUAUCUGAGAAAUCUGAAGUUAUGCCACCUCUCACAUUCCUCAUAUUGAAAAUUUAUGUCUUCUCUCUUUUCCUUUAUUGAUAAAGCUAGCUAGGAGUUUGUCAAUUUUACAGAUGUCUUCAAAGAACCAGGUUUGGUUUCAUUGAUUUUUUUCUAUUAUUUGUUUCUAUUUCAUUGAUCUCCACUUUGAUCUUUAUUGUUUUCCUUCUUCUUCCUACUUUUGUUUUCAUUUGGUCUUAUUUUCCUACUUUUUCAUAAGGUGGACGCUGAGGUCAAUAAUCUGAUACCUAUCUUUUUCUAUGUAAGGUGUUAAUUGCUAUAAAUUUUCCUGUAAUUUCUGCUUUAGAAGAAUCCAACAGAUUUUUAUAUGUUGUGUUUUUGUUUCAAUCCAGUUCAGAAUACUUCUUACUUUUCCUUUUAAUGGAUUAUUUUUAUGUAUGCUGUUAUGUUUACAAAUCUUUGGGGAUCAUCCAAAUAUCUUUUUGUUAGUGAUUUCUAUUUCCUUUGUGGUCAGAGAAUAUACUUUGUAUGAUUUGAUAAUUAAAAUUUUAUCCAUGCUUGUUUUAUGACCCAGAAUAUAGUCGAUCUUGGUAAAUAUUCUAUGUGUACUUACAAUGAAUGUCUAUUCUACUGUUAUUGGAUAGAGUUUUUAAAAGUGUAAAUUAGACACUGUUGUCAAUUGAGUGUCAUUCCUCUUCUAUAUCCUUAUUGAUUUUCUGUCUAAUUGUUUCAUCACUUAUUAAUGAAGUUUGAAUACAUCUCCAACUAUAAUUGGGGCUUUGAAUAUUUCUUCUUCAAUUGUAUCAGUUUUUAAUUUUUGUAUUUUGAAAUUCUGACAUUGGCUACAUCAUCAACAUUAAGAUUGUUAUGUACUUAUGAUGCAUCAACCCAUUUAUCAUCAGAAAUUGUCUCUCUCUACUUGUAGCAAUAUUUUUUCUAAGAAAUCUGUCUUAUCUAUACGAAAAUAGCCACUCCAGAUUUCUUUUGAUGGUUGUUUCACAGAGUAGAUCUUUUCUCAUUCUUUUUCUUUUAGUUCAUUUGUGUCUUCUUAGUUUAAGUUCAUUUCCUGUUGGCCCUUUCUAUUUUAUCCAAAAUGAUAAUUUCUAGGUUUGCAUCAGCUUUUAGAUUAUUUACAUUGAACAAUUAUGAUAUGAUUAGAUUUACAUAAACUAUAUUUCCAUAUUUUAUUUUUACAUGUUGCAUGUUUACUCUCUUUUGUCUGUUUUGUCUGCAUUCUUUGGGCUUAAAUAUUUUAAUGAUUUCCUUUUAUCUCAUCAUCACUUUAUUAGCUAACACUCUUUGUUUAUGGCUGCUUUAGGGUUUAUAGCAAGUUUUUUAGACUUAUCAUAGUCUACCUCCAAAUAAUAUCAUAUGUUAAUACACAUCCCAAGAACCUUACUAUGUUAUACUCCCAUUUCCCUCUUUCCUUUCUGUUAUUGUUGUAUAUUUGACAUCUACAUAUGUUACAACUCACCCCCACCCCAGCAUUAUUUUAUAAGCAGUUAUUAAGAUUAGAUAAUACAAUCAAGCUUCUUAUUUAUAUAAAAGAGAAAACAAGCAUUUUCUAUGUCCUUGAGUAGUUUCUAUUUUUGGUACUUUUCACUAGCAUGUGUAAGUCCAUAUUUCUCUCUGUAUCAUUUUCUUCCUGUUUGAACAACUUCUUUUAACAUUUAACAUAGCACAAAUCUACUGUGGCUGAGUUUCUCAGCUUUUGCAUGUCUGAAAAAAUCUUUUAUUUUGCCUUCCUUUAUGGAGACGACUUUUUCCUGGGUAUAUGACUCUAGGUUGACUUUUUUCCCCCCUUUCAAUACUUAAAAAUAUAUCUUCACUAUGUUCUAUGUUCUGGCUUGAAUUGUUUCUGACAAAUCUGUGCCACUUAUAUCUUUGUUUCUCUUGUGUGUCUUUUAUCAUCUGGCUGCUUUGAAGAUUUUCCCUUUGUUACUUCCUAAAAGAAAUUUGAUUGUAAUAUAUUUUGUUAUAGUUUUUGUUAUAUGUCUGUGCCUGGAAUUUUUUGAACUUGGAUCCAUGGGUUUAUAGGUUUUACCAAAUUUUGAAAAACUUCAGCCAUUAUUUUUUCAAAUAAUUUUUCCUGUCUUACCUUUCUUCCAUCCUCUCCUGGAUUGCAACUACAUGUAUACUAAAUCUAAAUUUUUUAAAGUUGUUCUAUACCUCACUGAAGUUCUGUUUACUACAUUCAGUCCUUUUAUUUUUGUGUUUUAUCUUGGAUUAUUUUAUGAUUUCAAGUUCACUGAUCUUUUCUCUUUCAGUAUCUAAACUACUAAUCCAAUCCAUUGUAUUUAUCAUCUUCACAGUGUACUUUUCAUUGCUAGAAGUGCAAAAUCUUCAUUUUUCCUGUUUAUAUUUCUAUGUCUCUUUUUAGUAUAAUAACCAAUCUUUUCUUUUAAAUUUUAAUGUGUCCUUGACUUCUGAUUUAUAAUCUCUGUCAUUUCUGGGUCUAUUUCUAUUCAUUUAUUUUUCUGCUUAUUUGGGUGUAUUUUUCCUGCUUCUUUGUAUUCUUGCUAAUGUUUUAUUGAAUGCCAGAGUCUGUGAUAUUUUCUUUAUUCAAUUAAGAUAUUUUUGUAUUCCUAUAAAUAACUUUGAGAUUUAUAGGGUAAACAACUUACUCAAUUUACCUAGGGCUGUCCCAGUUGUAAAAUUAAACAUUCUAUAUUCCAACAGCUUUCCGAUCCAAGGCAAAUUGGGAUGGUUGGUUACCCUUAUCACUUGGAAAAAGUUUUAUGACUUUUUAAAGAUUUAUUAGGUGGGCCUGGAGUACCAUUAUUUUAGGGCUAAGUUACCCCACUACUGAGGCAGUACCCUUCUGAGUUGCCUGCUCAUUGCCUUUGAAUUAUGAGGUUUUCAAUACUACAAUGAGUAAAAAUUAUGUAAACUACAGGGCCUUGUUCCUUUUUGCUGAUUUCAGGCUGUUCUUUUCCUGAUCUUUGUUUUUUCCCACACACCUGUGCUCAGAUGUACUUAGCUGAAGACUCAAGGGUGACCCUUUGCUAAUCUCUGGGACCCUUGCUCUGCUCUGAGCUCUCUCUUCUGGCACUGUGUCCUGUGAAGUCUAGCUGUCUUGGUCUCCCUAGAUUUCUAGUGCUGUCUGCCCAUCCCAGGCUGCCCAGUAGGAUCUAACUAGGUUCCUGUUCUCUGCAUUGCAGCCUGGAAGGUCUCGUAGUGCUCACUUCAUUUGUUUCUCUCUCAUCGAUCACUGCCUAGCAGGGUGUUUUGAGAAGAAAACUGAUGUUAGUGUCAGAAUUACUUCAUUCCUAAUCUCCCCUUCACUUCAUGUGACCGUGGAUCCUUAAUUAAAUCAUUAAUGACCCCAAGCCUCUGAUUCCACUUCUGUGGGAUGAAAAUAAUAAAACCUGAGGAAAAUAGCGUCUAUUUUAAUUAUUUGUGAAGUGUAAAGUUUUAGGCAAAGAUAGAUUGGCUUAAUGAUUAUUUAGAGUUUUUCCAUAAAAAUAAGAUUACAGAAGGCUUUUAUUCCCAUGUGAAAGGUUAGACAGUGCAAUCAGACAUAUUGGUAUACAGUUUCCACUCCACCAGUUAAAAAAUAUUUUUAUUGUCAAAGAUUUCACUUGACCACCAAAGUUGGCUUAAAAGUUGGUACAUCUAGGAGUUAAAAUGAUUUUCAUGAUCAUAUAGUUGACAUUUGGUAGAAACAGUAUUCUCCACUGUAAUAUACAACCUUAUUUAAUACUUUAUAGCGAUGACAGAACAAAAUCUGAAAGAAGAAAAUUUGGGCAUUUAAUGACUGUUCUUUUCCACGUAUAUCCAUAGAGAUGAUUCUGUAAAUACAUGGAGAAUAAAGAAAUCCAAGGGACCAUGGUUAUUCUGUUGUAGCGUCUAAAUCUGUAAAUCACCCAGCUAUGCAAGUAAAACUUAGUAUAUUUAAUGUUUAGUGAUUCUUGGAGUGAUUUCAUUUUCUCAAGUGGCCAUUUUUGGUAGACAUUGUAGAUUGCUUAUUCAGUAGCAAUCUCAAGGAAUCCAUCCCUCUUGACAACUGAGAUUUGCUUUUGUUUAGAUAUCUACCCAUCUUUCCUAAUCUCAACUCAGUGGUAAAUCCUGAUUAGAGUAAAUCAAUAGUGACAAUAUAUUUAUAAAAUCAAUCCCUGUUGAGGCAGAUAGUUGUAAAUCAGUUUCUUCCACCAUUCCGGUAAGUAUCCAUUGUAUGCAAUAUUACAGUGCAUCAAUCUAUUUUCUUUUAGUGGUUAUUAUUAUUUUAAUGGUUAUAUGUUAAUAGUUAUUUUUUGCUAUUAUAAUACUAAUACCAUGAACAAUCUUAAACAUGCCCACUGGAAUUGUGAAUUUUAUUUUUUUCUUUCCUCAAAUCAAUAAUUUUUUGCUUGUUUAUCCUCUCUGCUAUGUUUAAUUUUCCUCUUUUGAUUAUUUUCCUAUCUCCAUUAUCUUUUUUUAAAUGAGAAUUUGUCCUAUUUGACUAAUAUUUGGUUUGUUCUAAAUGUUUAUAUUUAAAUAUUUUCUUCUUAAUACAAAUAAGACUUUCAUGAACAUUUGACAGUUUCAGCCCUUAACUGGCCCUUGAAAAUGUUGUUUCCUUUCUUAUUUUUUAAAUGAGGCAUAAUUGACAUGUAACAUUAUAUUAGUUUCAAGUGUAUAACAUGAUU